rnacentral:lncRNA from 1 species
GCUCCUCCCUCCCCUCUCCUUACCUUGGAUGGCCUCCAGCGUUAAUGUCUUCCUCAGGCUCCCACCGGGCUGGCUGCUGCUGCCACCACCAUCUGAUCUGGAUCCCCCCUUGCAGCUGUCAUCAAGGCCUCCACUGUGUGUCAAGAUGUGGAUGAAUGCCUUCACCCCCUUAGUCUCUAGCAGAACUUCAGUACUGAACUGUAGCAGCCAAAGAGAAAAGAUUCCAGGAGAGUUCACUUUAAGCAAGGUGCUCUUGAACAACAAGAUGUCCUCUUCUGCUCCCCCAGUGCAGAGACAACCUGAAGAGCUAUGCAUCUUUCCUGAGCCAUUGUGCUUGGGGGAAGAGACCAGGAUGGACCAUGUGGAAGAGAGUGGUGUUUGAUCCAGGGAAUGAGAUCCACGAUGAUUAACAACAAAGAGUGGAGUUAUGAGAAAACUGGAGGAUUGGCAGCAGGACAGCCACCCUGUGAUGAGCA